UACGUAGGGUGCGAGCGUUGUCCGGAAUUAUUGGGCGUAAAGAGCUUGUAGGCGGUCUGUCGCGUCUGCUGUGAAAAUCCGGGGCUCAACCCCGGACUUGCAGUGGGUACGGGCAGACUAGAGUGUGGUAGGGGAGACUGGAAUUCCUGGUGUAGCGGUGAAAUGCGCAGAUAUCAGGAGGAACACCGAUGGCGAAGGCAGGUCUCUGGGCCACUACUGACGCUGAGAAGCGAAAGCAUGGGGAGCGAACAGC
rnacentral:rRNA from 1 species